rnacentral:rRNA from 1 species
CCUACGGGUGACAGCAGUGGGGAAUAUUGGGCAAUGGGCGCAAGCCUGACCCAGCAACGCCGCGUGAAGGAAGAAGGCUCUCGGGUUGUAAACUUCUUUUAUCAGGGACGAAGCAAGUGACGGUACCUGAUGAAUAAGCCACGGCUAACUACGUGCCAGCAGCCGCGGUAAUACGUAGGUGGCAAGCGUUAUCCGGAUUUACUGGGUGUAAAGGGCGUGUAGGCGGGAAAGCAAGUCAGAUGUGAAAACCAUGGGCUCAACCUGUGGCCUGAAUUUGAAACUGUUUUUCUUGAGUACUGGAGAGGCAGACGGAAUUACUAGGGUAGCGAUGAAAUGCGUAGAUAUUAGGAGGAACAGCAGUGUCGAAGGCGGUCUGCUGGACAGCAACUGACGCUGAGGCGGGAAAGCGUGGGGAGCAAACAGGAUUAGAUACCCCAGUAGUC